AGAUUUCCAACCCCAGCUGCCAUCGUGGUGUGAGGAGGGCUCCACAGAGGUUGGUUCUUCACAGUAAGUGUCCUUGGCACUCAGGGUGCAGGAUAGGAAGAGACCAACUUCACCAGGAGGCUUUGGAGCAAGCGCCCUGGGCCUUGAUGCGCCUGAAAGCUUGUGUGGAGAAAAAGAUCCUCCCACUCCCGGCUCCCCUUUCCUAAAAAUCCGAGACAAAGCUCAAUGGUCUUGUCCGGUGUCCACCCCCACUCCCCCCAGUGUUCGUCUCCCAGGAAAGCGCCCCACACUGGGCGUCCCGGGAGAAAGGACCUAGAAUAGUCAAAACCACAGAGAAGGAUCUGACUGUGUGGCUCUGGAUGCUGCCUUGCCCUCCCGAGUGCUGGAAUGGCAGUGCUUUGAUACCAUGCCCAGCUACCAGUUCUUGUGAUUCUUAUGAUACCUCAUCAGGGUGGAGUUUGGUAGCUUUGGAAGCCUGUUCCAAGAGAGAAAACCAGCCCGUAUGCUUAUAGACUUAAAAACCCUGGUGUGAAGGCAGCAGAAUCAGUAACUCUCCACUGGCAACAAAGCUGGAGCUGUGUCCUUGCAGGAGGAGAGCGUUGGCUGGGAAGAAGCUGAACGCCCAUCCUCUUUAAUGUUAGGAAGCUCUGAGAAGCUCUGAGAAGAAGAGUCUUGGCCCAGAGCGUCAUAAUGAAGUUGCUUUGGCGAGCUUCCUUUUUAAGACCUUUGGCUGUGGGUGAGCUAUGUGACCUGGGAAAUGUAAGGCAAGCUGUUGUUGCAGAUGUAGCCCAGACACAGGGCACACAAAGCCGCUGAGCUUUUGUCCUUUCAGAAACUGCAACUCUAUGAUCCAACAAAAGCAGCUUUUAAGUUUAAGUCAUCUGACAGUUUAUGUGAGGUGACAAUAAGUUAAUUUAAUAGAUGUUUAUUUUCCUCAUUUUAGAGAUGUCAUUAAUUCUAGCUUAUGUUCGAAUUCAAUAUAAUAUUUGUGCAAAACACAAAUGAAUUGUAUAUACAGUUUGUGACAGUUAGUUUUAAUUGUCAACUUGACAUAACCCAGGAUCACAUGGGAAAGGAAUCUCAGUGAGGGAUGGUCUACAUCAGAUUGGCCUGUGGGCACAUCUAAGUGGGAUUGUCUUGAUUGCCUGUGUUUAUGUGAAAAUCCAGGCCAGCAUAAAUAGCACUGCUCCCGAGACAAGAGGUCAUGCAUAUGGAGCCAAGCACAGGCAAGCAAGCAAGCAAGCAAGCAAGCAAGCAAGCAAGCAAGCAAGCAAGCAUUCAUCUCUCUUCUUGACCAUGGUUGCAAUGUGAUAGACUAUAACCUGGAAGCAUAAGCCAGGGAGAUCCUUUUUCCCCUACUUUAAUUUUUGUCAGGAUAUGCUUAUCACAGCAACAGAAAUUGAACUAUAUUAGCAUUUAUUCCUGUUAAUCCUGUUGUCUACAAAAAAAAAAAAAAA
rnacentral:lncRNA from 1 species